CACACUUAAAGCAGAUUCUUAAGUAGAAGUUGCUUUUGAAGCAGUACUAGGCCCACCAGAAAGAAGGAUGAACAACAUUCCGGAGCAAAUUCUAACAUCAAACACAGCUAUGCACUUUUAACUUCAGUUAAAAAGAGUUUCCCAGGUAGACCUAGAGCCCGGCAUGGUGAUGGAAGCCUGCAAUUCCAGCUACUUGGGAAGCUGAAGCAAGAGAAUCGCUUGAACCUGGGAGACGGAGGUUGCAGUGAGCCAAGAUUGCACAAUGCACUCUAGCCUGGGCAACAAGAAGGAAACUCCAUCACAAAAAUAAAUAAAUAAAUAAAAAUCCA
rnacentral:lncRNA from 1 species